GUCCCCUUCGUCUAGAGGCCUAGGACACCACCCUUUCACGGUGGGUACAGGGGUUCGAAUCCCCUAGGGGACGCCA
rnacentral:tRNA from 66 species